rnacentral:rRNA from 1 species
AUUGAACGCUGGCGGCAGGCCUAACACACGCAAGUCGGACGGUAGCACAGAGGAGCUUGCUCCUCGGGUGACGAGUGGCGGACGGGUGAGUAAUGUCUGGGGAUCUGCCCGAUAGAGAGGGAUAACCACUGGAAACGGUGGCUAAUACCGCAUAACGUCGCAAGACCAAAGAGGGGGACCUUCGGGCCUCUCACUAUCGGAUGAACCCAGAUGGGAUUAGCUAGUCGGCGGGGUAACGGCCCACCUAGGCGACGAUCCCUAGCUGGUCUGAGAGGAUGACCAGCCACACUGGAACUGAGACACGGUCCAGACUCCUACGGGAGGCAGCAGUGGGGAAUAUUGCACAAUGGGCGCAAGCCUGAUGCAGCCAUGCCGCGUGUAUGAAGAAGGCCUUCGGGUUGUAAAGUACUUUCAGCGGGGAGGAAGGCGAUGUGGUUAAUAACCGCGUCGAUUGACGUUACCCGCAGAAGAAGCACCGGCUAACUCCGUGCCAGCAGCCGCAGUAA